rnacentral:tRNA from 1 species
CACCCGAUGACUGAAAGUAGUACUGGUCUUUUAACCCUGUUAUAGUGUAUCCUACGCUAUACUCCGGUGA